rnacentral:rRNA from 1 species
AGUGAACGCUGGCGGUAGGCCUAACACAUGCAAGUCGAACGGCAGCACAGUAAGAGCUUGCUCUUACGGGUGGCGAGUGGCGGACGGGUGAGGAAUACAUCGGAAUCUACUUUUUCGUGGGGGAUAACGUAGGGAAACUUACGCUAAUACCGCAUACGACCUACGGUUGAAAGCAGGGGAUCUUCGGACCUUUCGCGAUUGAAUGAGCCGAUGUCGGAUUAGCUAGUUGGCGGGGUAAUGGCCCACCAAGGCGACGAUCCGUAGCUGGUCUGAGAGGAUGAUCAGCGACACUGGAACUGAGACACGGUCCAGACUCCUACGGGAGGCAGCAGUGGGGAAUAUUGGACAAUGGGCGCAAGCCUGAUCCAGCCAUACCGCGUGGGUGAAGAAGGCCUUCGGGUUGUAAAGCCCUUUUGUUGGGAAAGAAAAGCAGCAGGUUAAUACCCCGCUGUUCUGACGGUACCCAAAGAAUAAGCACCGGCUAACUUCGUG